CUACAGCGAUCAGGAGGAAGGAGAAUGGCUGGUAUGACGAAGAACAUCCCCUCGUCUUCCUCUUCCUCGGCUCCUCUGGAAUCGGUAAGACUGAGCUGGCCAAACAGGUGGCUCGUUAUAUGCACAAGGACCUGAAAAAGGGAUUCAUCCGCGUGGACAUGUCUGAGUUCCAGGAGAAGCACGAGGUGGCUAAAUUCAUAGGUUCUCCUCCAGGUUAUGUUGGUCAUGAAGAGGGAGGUCAGCUGACUAAACAGUUGAAGGCGUAUCCCAAUGCUGUGGUUCUGUUUGACGAGGUGGACAAGGCCCACCCAGACGUACUGACCAUCAUGCUACAGCUGUUCG